rnacentral:rRNA from 1 species
UACGUAGGUGGCAAGCGUUGUCCGGAUUUACUGGGCGUAAAGAGCGCGCAGGCGGUCGUUCAAGUCGCGUGUGAAAGCCCCCGGCUCAACUGGGGAGGGUCACGCGAUACUGAUCGACUGGAAGGCAGGAGAGGGUAGUGGAAUUCCCGGUGUAGUGGUGAAAUGCGUAGAUAUCAGGAGGAACACCGGUGGCGAAGGCGCUCAUCUGGCCCAAUACUGACGCUGAGGCGCGAAAGCUAGGGUAGCGAACGGG